UACGGGGGGGGCAAGCGUUGUUCGGAAUUACUGGGCGUAAAGGGCUCGUAGGCGGCCAACUAAGUCGGAUGUGAAAUCCCCAGGCUUAACCUGGGAACUGCAUCCGAUACUGGAUGGCUUGAAUCCGGGAGAGGGAUGCAGAAUUCCAGGUGUAGCGGUGAAAUGCGUAGAUAUCUGGAGGAAUAUCGGUGGCGAAGGCGGCAUCCUGGACCGGCAUUGACGCUGAGUGAGCGAAAGCCAGGGGAGCAAACGGG
rnacentral:rRNA from 1 species